AUCCUCGACCGCGUUGACACAUUCGGAACUGGCGUGGGUUUUGCUGUCAAAUUUUUCGUUCUACUCAUUACGGCAAAAAGUGUCCUUGGCAUUGCCAUCUUGUCUGCGUUCCUGCUUUAUAGGUGGCAUCGGAGGCAUUUAUC